AAUAGAUACCCUGGUAGUCCACGCCGUAAACGAUGGAUACUAGCUGUUUGAGCGCAAGUUUGAGUGGCUAAGCGAAAGUGAUAAGUAUCCCACCUGGGGAGUACGGGCGCAAGCCUGAAACUCAAAGGAAUUGACGGGGGCCCGCACAAGCGGUGGAGCAUGUGGUUUAAUUCGAUGAUACGCGAGGAACCUUACCAGGGCUUAAAUGUAGAUUGACGUAUUUGGAAACAGAUAUUUCUUCGGACAAUUUACAAGGUGCUGCAUGGUUGUCGUCAGCUCGUGCCGUGAGGUGUCAGGUUAAGUCCUAUAACGAGCGCAACCCCUGUUGUUAGUUGCCAGCGAGUAAUGUCGGGAACUCUAGCAAGACUGCCAGUGUAAACUGUGAGGAAGGUGGGGAUGACGUCAAAUCAUCACGGCCCUUACGUCCUGGGCCACACACGUGCUACAAUGGCCGGUACAGAGAGCAGCCACUUAGCGAUAAGGAGCGAAUCUAUAAAGCCGGUCACAGUUCGGAUCGGAGU
rnacentral:rRNA from 1 species